GGCGACCGGCGCACGGGUGAGUAACACGUAUCCAACCUGCCGAUGACUCGGGGAUAGCCUUUCGAAAGAAAGAUUAAUACCCGAUGGCAUAGUUCUUCCGCAUGGUAGAACUAUUAAAGAAUUUCGGUCAUCGAUGGGGAUGCGUUCCAUUAGGUUGUUGGCGGGGUAACGGCCCACCAAGCCUUCGAUGGAUAGGGGUUCUGAGAGGAAGGUCCCCCACAUUGGAACUGAGACACGGUCCAA
rnacentral:rRNA from 1 species